CCAACCUAUGCAGGCACGCAGCAGAACACAAUAUGGUGUUAGCAACUCUCUCCCCUUGCCCCCACUGUCACAAUCAUGCAGUUGGGUUUCCCACAUUUGGAGAAAUCACAGGGGUCAGCACAUCUGGAGUGCAAUGGAUAAGCCUCGCCCUGGGAAGACCACCUUUCAUGAUCAUGGUAUCUCCCUUGCCAGUGCCUGGUAUAAAAUUACCUGCAGAGGAAAACUUGAUGUCAGCCACUGCUUCCGAAUUCUCAAGUCCUUCUUUUAAUGUGAUGUCUUCAGCAACAAGAGGAGGAAAUUCUGCCAUUCGCUCUUUUCCACCCAUUGGAACCUUUCAUUGAGAUAAAAUGAAGAUGUUUGGAAGUACAAAUUAAAUUCCCUAUAGCGCUAAUAUAAAGUAAAGCACUGACAAAGGUAAUUUUGUACAUGAUCAAGAAUAAAAUCCUUUUAAACAUUAA